AGUUAAUGAACUUGUAUAAAGUAUAUAUUUUGAAAAUAUAACAAAGAAAAAUAAUUUCUAUUAACUU
rnacentral:tRNA from 1 species